GACGUUGAAGUGAAAACUUAAAUAAUAAGUAUCACUCUUAUGCUAGGGCUCCCAGUCUCCAGGAGAGAUCUAAAACUUCUCCCUCGCGAUUGCCUUUCUCCCUGCCUUUCGACCCUCUUCCGGCACGCUGAACACCGGUUCGGUCGGACCACCUGUCUGCAACCGUCUCUAUCGUACAAACCAACCGAUCGAGAGACGUUUUUGACAAGGACACCGCCGAUGAAGACGGCAAACCACCGCCGGAGCUGGAGACAAUUAAGGGUUUGGGUAGUGGAAACCUUUGGGUUCGGGCUGCGAUUUUAGUGCUGCAAAUGGAAACAGUCGCUGCUCUUUGAUCUUCUAUCGAAGUUGCACCGUAUGAAUUUGCCAGAUCCGUUAUUUCGAUAUCAAACUUACCUGAUUUUGCUCGGCUCUACACCAAAUUUUGGAUUAAGGUAAUACUUUACUUGAUAAUAUGUAGU
rnacentral:lncRNA from 1 species